rnacentral:rRNA from 1 species
CCAGACUCCUACGGGAGGCAGCAGUGAGGAAUAUUGGUCAAUGGCCGCAGGGCUGAACCAGCCAAGUCGCGUGAGGGAUGACGGUCCUAUGGAUUGUAAACCUCUUUUGUCAGGGAGCAAAGGGCGCCACGUGUGGCGUUUUGCGAGUACCUGAAGAAAAAGCAUCGGCUAACUCCGUGCCAGCAGCCGCGGUAAUACGGAGGUGGCAAGCGUUGUCCGGAUUUACUGGGUGUAAAGGGCGUGCAGCCGGAGAGACAAGUCAGAUGUGAAAUCCACGGGCUCAACCCGUGAACUGCAUUUGAAACUGUUUCCCUUGAGUGUCGGAGAGGUAAUCGGAAUUCCUUGUGUAGCGGUGAAAUGCGUAGAUAUAAGGAAGAACACCAGUGGCGAAGGCGGAUUACUGGACGAUAACUGACGGUGAGGCGCGAAAGCGUGGGGAGCAAACAGGAUUAGAUACCCCUGUAC